rnacentral:rRNA from 1 species
GACGAACGCUGGCGGCGUGCUUAACACAUGCAAGUCGAACGGUAAGGCCCCUUCGGGGUACACGAGUGGCGAACGGGUGAGUAACACGUGGGUAAUCUGCCCUGCACUCCGGGAUAAGCCUGGGAAACUGGGUCUAAUACCGGAUAUGAGCUCCUGCCGCAUGGUGGGGGUUGGAAAGUUUUCGGUGCAGGAUGAGUCCGCGGCCUAUCAGCUUGUUGGUGGGGUAAUGGCCUACCAAGGCGACGACGGGUAGCCGGCCUGAGAGGGUGAUCGGCCACACUGGGACUGAGACACGGCCCAGACUCCUACGGGAGGCAGCAGUGGGGAAUAUUGCACAAUGGGCGAAAGCCUGAUGCAGCGACGCCGCGUGGGGGGAUGACGGUCUUCGGAUUGUAAACCCCUUUCAGUAGGGACGAAGCGCAAGUGACGGUACCUGCAGAAGAAGCACCGGCCAACUACGUGCCAGCAGCCGCGGUAAU